AGUCGAACGGCAGCACGGACUUCGGUCUGGUGGCGAGUGGCGAACGGGUGAGAAUGUAUCGGAACGUGCCUAGUAGCGGGGGAUAACUACGCGAAAGCGUAGCUAAUGUGCACACGCCCUCGGGGGAAAGCGGGGACCUUCGGGCCUCGCACUAUUAGAGCGGCCGAUAUCGGAUUAGCUAGUUGGUGGGGUAACGGCUCACCAAGGCGACGAUCCGUAGCUGGUUUGAGAGGACGACCAGCCACACUGGGACUGAGACACGGCCCAGACUCCUACGGAGGCAGCAGUGGGGAAUUUUGACAAUGGGGAAACCCUGAUCCAGCCAUCCCGCGUGUGCGAUGAAGGCCUUCGGGUUGUAAAGCACUUUUGGCAGGAAAGAAACGGCAUGGAUAAUACCCCGUGCAACUGACGGUACCUGCAGAAUAAGCACUGGCUAACUACGUGCCAGCAGCCGCGGUAAUACGUAGGGUGCAAGCGUUAAUCGGAAUUACUGGGCGUAAAGCGUGCGCAGGCGGUUCGGAAAGAAAGAUGUGAAAUCCCAGAGCUUAACUUUGGAACUGCAUUUUAACUACCGAGCUAGAGUGUGUCAGAGGGAGGUGGAAUUCCGCGUGUAGCAGUGAAAUGCGUAGAUAUGCGGAGGAACACCGAUGGCGAAGGCAGCCUCCUGGGAUAACACUGACGCUCAUGCACGAAAGCGUGGGGAGCAAACAGGAUUAGAUACCCUGGUAGUCCACGCCCUAAACGACGUCAACUAGCUGUUGGGGCCUUCGGGCCUUGGUAGCGCAGCUAACGCGUGAAGUUGACCGCCUGGGGAGUACGGUCGCAAGAUUAAAAACUCAAAGGACUGACAGAAUCUGCACAGCGGUGGAUGAUGUGGGAUUAAUUCGAUGCAACGCGAAAACCUUACCUACCCUUGACAUGUCUGGAAUCCUGAAGAGAUUUGGGAGUGCUCGCAAGAGAACCGGAACACAGGUGCUGCAUGGCUGUCGUCAGCUCGUGUCGUGAGAUGUUGGGUUAAGUCCCGCAACGAGCGCAACCCUUGUCAUUAUUAAGGCUGAAAGGGCACUCUAAUGAGACUGCCGGUGACAAACCGAGGAAGGUGGGGAUGACGUCAACAAGUCCUCAUGGCUCCUUAUGGGUAGGGCUUCACACGUCAUACAAUGGUCGGGACAGAGGGUCGCCAACCCGCGAGGGGGAGCCAAUCCCAGAAACCCGAUCGUAGUCCGGAUCGCAGUCUGCAACUCGACUGCGUGAAGUCGGAAUCGCUAGUAAUCGCGGAUCAGCAUGUCGCGGUGAAUACGUUCCCGGUCUUGCAUGCACACCGCCCGUCACACCAUGGGAGUGGGUUUUACCAGAAGUAGUUAGCCUAACCGUAAGGAGGGCGAUUACCACGGUAGGAUUCAUACCAGGUGAAGUCGUAACAAGGUAA
rnacentral:rRNA from 1 species